CUGUCUCUCAGAGUUCUCCCAUUUCUCAUCGUUGUGACCCAGGCUAACCGACGCAUCUCUUAAUCUUCUUCUCUCUCUAUCGCGACAUUACUGGGAUCUUCUAAGCCAAAUGCUCAAACCGUCUCUCAUCUAUUCCUUGUCUAUCACACUCCACAAUCAAAAACCCUAGAGACGAAUUCAACCAACAAGCCAAAUCCACACCCUGUCGCAUCUAAACCUUCUUCCAGUUUCUUGCGCCACCACCGAAAACCCAAGAACCAUAGAAACCCUUUCCACCAACUACAUAAAUCUAUGCCAAAUUUCUCCACGCCUACGAGACUACAAUGUGGCCAAAUGGUUAACAAAUUCAAUUUUUAUCAUUCUUUUUAACUUAGGGUUUUGGAUUUACAGGUAAUUGCGUCCAAAUUGAGCACGCCAGCAGCCCUCGACCUCUUCAUCCAUUUUUCAAGGACUCUAAUUGGGUUUACAUUCACAAAUUUACAAACAAAAAAACUGAAGGAAGGAACAUUAAUCAAUAACUUUAGCAAAGAAACUUGUUGGUCAUGGUUUUUGACAAGGGUAGUUCUCUUGCUUGUGUUUUUAAACCAAGAUGUUGUCGGUAUAGGUUUUAUACUCUGCAAAUUUUGGGGUUGUUCUGCUUUCAGUAUUUUCAUCGUAAUCUCACUUAAUCAACAUACUUGGUAACUUAAGUGAUAGCCACAACUUCUAGAACUCACCUUUUGAAGGAUAUUGAAAUUAAAGUACAUAUAAAACUCAAUUGUGUAAUUUUGAUAGGCUCAUCUCUUACGUUUCGUUCUUCUUACUGUUAACUAUUCCUUCAAUUCUUAUUUUCUUCUCUUUUGUUAUUCAAAUUCUCAAUGCACCUGCUAUUCUCUAGACACCAAUGUUUUUAUUUUCUUCUCUUUUAUUAUGUAAGGAUAAGAUGAAGAAAAAGAAGGAUGGAGUUAAAGGAGAAAGUAUUCAAGAAGCACUUGAGGUAGUGAUGGUGAUCUUUCAAAUGACAAUGAUACUUGUGCUGAACUAAAGACCAUGACAUGGCUGAUGACUUAUAUUAUGUAUUUUGUCGUUGUUUUCAAAUAUGCACAUGGUAUACCUGUUUUGUUACCGACUCAAUGCCUUAGAAUCUUGUUAGCAUCGCAAUAUGUUUAGAGGUGUUAGGAUGCUUAUGUUAGCUUUUGAGAUAAAC